AAUUAUUUAGUUUAAAAAUAAAAUAUUGACUUGUCAAGUCAAAGACAAUUAUUAAUUAAUAGUUA
rnacentral:tRNA from 1 species